UUGGCGGCGUGCCUAACACAUGCAAGUCGAACGGACGAGGAGGAGCUUGCUUCUCCAAGGCAGUGGCGGACGGGUGAGUAACGCGUGAUUAUCCUGCCCUUCAGAGGGGGAUAACGUCUGGAAACGGACGCUAAUACCGCAUGACAUAUUUCCAUCGCAUGGUGGAGAUAUCAAAGGAGCAAUCCGCUGAAGGAUGGACUCGCGUCCGAUUAGAUAGUUGGCGGGGUAACGGCCCACCAAGUCGACGAUCGGUAGCCGGACUGAGAGGUUGAACGGCCACAUUGGGACUGAGACACGGCCCAGACUCCUACGGGAGGCAGCAGUGGGGGAUAUUGCACAAUGGGCGAAAGCCUGAUGCAGCAACGCCGCGUGAGGGAAGACGGUUUUCGGAUUGUAAACCUCUGUUCUAAGUGACGAACAAAUGACGGUAGCUUAGGAGAAAGCCCCGGCUAACUACGUGCCAGCAGCCGCGGUAAUACGUAGGGGGCAAGCGUUGUCCGGAAUUACUGGGUGUAAAGGGAGCGCAGGCGGAGAAGCAAGUCAGUGGUGAAAACGAUGGGCUUAACUCAUCGACUGCCAUUGAAACUGUUUCCCUUGAGUGAAGUAGAGGCAGGCGGAAUUCCGAGUGUAGCGGUGAAAUGCGUAGAUAUUCGGAGGAACACCAGUGGCGAAGGCGGCCUGCUGGGCUUUAACUGACGCUGAGGCUCGAAAGUGUGGGGAGCAAACAGGAUUAGAUACCCUGGUAGUCCACACUGUAAAC
rnacentral:rRNA from 1 species